GAGAAAGCACAUUUCCACCUGGAAGUUUCAAAAGCCCCGUGCUGUUACUGAAUACCCUUUCCUACCAUGAGGAGCAAUACAGAACGAAAAUAAGAAUAAAUCCCUUGGUUGCUAGUCCUAGCAUUGAAUGACAGAAUGAGCAAACAUGGAAAGGCAAUCCUGGGGCCAUGGAGAAAGUACAUAUGUGAUGCCAGACUAUAUCUCUGUCCACAAACAUGAUUUCACUCCCCUGCAAAUCCACCUGCAAGCACAGUCACCUCAUUUCCAAGCAAUGAUUAGCUUUUGUUACCCAGAGCAGAUGUGGAACGUUUGCUGGGAUUAGGAAAUAUUUUGCAUGUGAGAAUGUGAAUGCUACAAUCCUCGACUCAGCCAAGAAGACUUAAUAAAUGGUGAAUUUUUACAUCUUCAGGGAGGAGCAACAUAUUUUUUUAAAAGUGUUGGUUAAAAUAAACACCAAAUUCCCAAUGAGAGACUCCAAACUCUGAUGAUGUGCAGGACUGAUCAUUUUAUUACUGUGGAAAAGUUUACUCAGAUGAUGCAGCCCACUUCAUCCUAUUGUUAAUGUUCUCAUUCUCACAUUAUCAAUGGCAUAUGUGUACUCAUCCUUUACUGUCUUUUAUUGCUUUAUUGGAUGCACCAGAAAUUGUUGACAAAAUGUGUCCUUGU